rnacentral:rRNA from 2 species
GGGACACGUGGUAUCCUGUCUGAAUAUGGGGGGACCAUCCUCCAAGGCUAAAUACUCCUGACUGACCGAUAGUGAACCAGUACCGUGAGGGAAAGGCGAAAAGAACCCCGGCGAGGGGAGUGAAAAAGAACCUGAAACCGUGUACGUACAAGCAGUGGGAGCCUCUUUAUGGGGUGACUGCGUACCUUUUGUAUAAUGGGUCAGCGACUUAUAUUCUGUAGCAAGGUUAACCGAAUAGGGGAGCCGAAGGGAAACCGAGUCUUAACUGGGCGUUAAGUUGCAGGGUAUAGACCCGAAACCCGGUGAUCUAGCCAUGGGCAGGUUGAAGGUUGGGUAACACUAACUGGAGGACCGAACCGACUAAUGUUGAAAAAUUAGCGGAUGACUUGUGGCUGGGGGUGAAAGGCCAAUCAAACCGGGAGAUAGCUGGUUCUCCCCGAAAGCUAUUUAGGUAGCGCCUCGUGAAUUCAUCUCCGGGGGUAGAGCACUGUUUCGGCAAGGGGGUCAUCCCGACUUACCAACCCGAUGCAAACUGCGAAUACCGGAGAAUGUUAUCACGGGAGACACACGGCGGGUGCUAACGUCCGUCGUGAAGAGGGAAACAACCCAGACCGCCAGCUAAGGUCCCAAAGUCAUGGUUAAGUGGGAAACGAUGUGGGAAGGCCCAGACAGCCAGGAUGUUGGCUUAGAAGCAGCCAUCAUUUAAAGAAAGCGUAAUAGCUCACUGGUCGAGUCGGCCUGCGCGGAAGAUGUAACGGGGCUAAACCAUG